rnacentral:rRNA from 1 species
UACGAAGGGGGGCUAGCGUUGCUCGGAAUCACUGGGCGUAAAGGGUGCGUAGGCGGGUCUUUAAGUCAGGGGUGAAAUCCUGGAGCUCAACUCCAGAACUGCCUUUGAUACUGAGGAUCUUGAGUUCGGGAGAGGUGAGUGGAACUGCGAGUGUAGAGGUGAAAUUCGUAGAUAUUCGCAAGAACACCAGUGGCGAAGGCGGCUCACUGGCCCGAUACUGACGCUCAGGCGCGAAAGCUAGGGGAGCAAACGGG